CCUACGGUGGCAGAAGUGAGGAAGAGUGGUCAAGGGACGAGAGUCGGAACCAGACAAGUAGCGUGAAGGAGGACGGCCCUAGGGGUUGUAAACUUCUUUUAGAUGGGAAUAAAAUGUUCCACGUGUGGGAUUUUGUAGGUACCAUAGGAAUAAGGAGCGGCUAACUCCGGGCCAGCAGCCGCGGUAAUACGGAGGAUCCGAGCGUUAUCCGGAUUUAUUGGGUUGCACGGGAGCGGAGGUGGCUUGUUAAGUCAGUUGUGAAAGUUUGCGGCUCAACCGUAAAAUUGCAGUUGAAACUGGCAGUCUUGCGUACAGUAGCGGUGGGCGGCAUUCGUGGUGUAGCGGU
rnacentral:rRNA from 1 species